rnacentral:rRNA from 1 species
UACAGAGGUGGCAAGCGUUGUUCGGAAUUACUGGGCGUAAAGGGCGCGUAGGCGGCCUUCUAAGUCAGACGUGAAAUCCCCCGGCUUAACCUGGGAACUGCGUCUGAUACUGGGAGGCUUGAGUAUGGGAGAGGUAUGUGGAACUCCGAGUGUAGAGGUGAAAUUCGUAGAUAUUCGGAAGAACACCAGUGGCGAAGGCGACAUACUGGUCCGUUACUGACGCUGAGGCUCGAAAGCGUGGGGAGCAAACAGG